GGGGUCGUAGCUCAGUUUGGUUAGAGCGCCUGCCUGUCACGCAGGAAGUCGCGAGUUCGAGUCUCGUCGGCCCCGCAA
rnacentral:tRNA from 1 species